CCUACGGGAGGCAGCAGUCGGGAAUAUUGGACAAUGGGCGCAAGCCUGAUCCAGCAAUACCGCGUGUGUGAAGAAGGCCUGCGGGUUGUAAAGCACUUUCAGUUGGGAAGAUAAUGACGUUACCAACAGAAGAAGCACCGGCUAACUCCGUGCCAGCAGCCGCGGUAAUAA
rnacentral:rRNA from 2 species